CAGCCGCCGCGGUAAUACGUAGGGUGCAAGCGUUAAUCGGAAUUACUGGGCGUAAAUCGUGCGCAGGCGGUUUGUUAAGACAGAUGUGAAAUCCCCGGGCUUAACCUGGGAACUGCAUUUGUGACUGGCAAGCUAGAGUAUGGCAGAGGGGGGUGGAAUUCCGCGUGUAGCAGUGAAAUGCGUAGAUAUGCGGAGGAACACCGAUGGCGAAGGCAGCCCCCUGGGCCAAUACUGACGCUCAUGCACGAAAGCGUGGGGAGCAAACAGGAUUAGAUACCCCGGUAGUCCCUGUCUCUUAUAC
rnacentral:rRNA from 1 species